ensembl:lncRNA
GCCUGAUGAAGGUGAACUCUUUUUAUUGUCUUUAUUGAUCGGGAUGCAGCAGAAUGUACUUUCUGGUACAGUGGUUCUCAAACUUUAGCAUGCAUCAGAAUCACAUGGAAAGUUUGUUUUAACACAAUUUCUGGACUCCCACCCCAGAAUGUUUAAUUCAGUUGAUCUUGUUGUCUGUCCUUUAAUUUGUCAAUCAAAGUACUAUAAAUUUUUUUUUUGGGGGGGAGGUUGUUUACUUUUUAAAGUAUAGUUGAUUUGCAAUGUUGUGUUCAUUUCUGCUGUACAGCAAAAUAGAAGUCCUAUAAUUUGUAUUUUUAACAAGUUUCAAGGUCCUUGCCUCAGCUAAGAGACUUUAUUGACACACACAAUUACCUGGCAUUGCACGGUUCCCUGGCACUGCAACUCUGCAAGCCAGACCUUCGUCUGUCCUACAGCUGAGGAAAGUCACUUUACCACUGCAUGCAUGCCUUCUGCUUCUCCAUCUGACACUUCAGUUAUGAAUUCAAGAUUUGGAGUUUAUCUUGCUCUUUACGUAAACUCUCCAGGGCAAUCAAGAGCAGCCCACCCAUCCUAGAAUCCAUGUAAUCAGCAAUAUUCCCCUAGCAACUAAGUGCCAAUGAUUUUUUAAAAAAUAUUUGUUCUUUCAUUCAUUUAUUUAGCUGUGCCAGGUCUUAUUGCUGCACACGAGAUCUUCAAUCUUCACUGUGGCAUGUGGAAUUUUUAGCUGUGGCUUGUGUGAUCUAGUUCCCUGACCAGGGAUCGAACGUGGGCUCCCUGCAUUUGGAGCACAGAGCCUUAGCCACAGGACCACUAGGGAAGCCCCACCAGUAACUCUCCUCCUAGUGCUUUACUCUCAACCUGCACUCCAUCCUGUGCCAACACUGAUAAUAUUCCAAUAACUGUGAUAGCAUUACACAGUACAGACUACUCAUGUCCUGCCUCCCCCAGUCAGGAGGUUACUCUGUGCUCAUCUAAUAUGCAAGAAACCCAAUCCCAGCAUUUAUUUGGAGAGCCUGUUUCCUGAUGCCACUCCUGGUACCAAUGGCUUUAUUAGUCAGGAAGCAACUGAAGAGGGUUUGAUUGA